UCGGCCGAGGAUCAGACCCUAUUCACAACAGAUGCUAAAAUUUCCAAGCAGAGGAUAAAAUGCUAAGACACUUUCCAGUAUAGGUUUGUUUUGAUUUUGUUGUUUCAUUGUUUGAAUCAAAGCCUUGUGCUCAUAGAGAAGCUGAUAGAUGCAGCUGAGAAGUGCAAGCUAUACCUUUAUCAUAUAAUAUAGAUUCCAACAAUAGCUCGAAUACUUAGGGAUUCAUAGUGCUGUAGAUUUUGUUUCUUCUUUUAGCUUCAAUUUUCUUCAUCUAAAUUCUUUUCACGUUUAUUCAUGUAAGCACACACAGAGAAGCACAAGGAGAUGCACACGGACCAACAUCUGUUUUUGUUACAAUGAAUCUGGUUUAUGCCAAUGUCAUUUUUCAUUGAUUUAUUUUGUUCCUCAACUUGCAGCGUUAUGCAAAUUAGAAUUUUAUUUCGAAGUAUAAAAGUAGUAAUCUUCUCUUUGUGUUUGAAAUUCAUUCUAUUCCUUUCCUAUUGUUCAGCAAGAUUUCAAUCAAAAGUAAAAGUAUCCAAAAUGUUUGAGGACUGGUUAAAAAGAAGGUAUAAAACUUGAAAAACCUAUAACUUGGACGUUCUAAGGUACUUACAGCCUAAACAGAGAACUUAAGAGGAAUGUGAUCUGCUGUAUCUGUUCUUCCGGUGAACACUUAAUUGUGUGGCCGAUUUCUUGCGAGAAACAGUCUGCCAAAUCAUAUCCACAGCAUCACCAGCCUGAGAUGGACACUGAUACUCAAAGUGUCGACUGGCAUUCUUUAAUCUUUCCCACAUUUUCGUCCAGUUCUCUUGCUUAAUCCCUCUGAGUAGAUUCAGAAGAUAACCCUUUUUCAAAGCAUCCGAUGCACGGACAAAUAAACAGAAUUCUGAGUAGUCGAGAACAUCUUCAAAGGGUAGCUCGAUUUCAUCACUGAUUAUUACAGGAACACAAUGACUAGCAAUGGCAUCAAAGAGACGAUUUGAAGAAGGGGUGUCUCCAGCAAUAUUCAGGCAAAAUUUGGAAGAGGCCAUCCCUUUCCCUGCCUGUUUUAUCCCACUAGCCUGAACGCUUCCAAACGCAAAGUAAACGUCUUUCUCGUCUUUAAGUAGGUUGUAUAGUACUUGACGGAUGGCUCCACCCUGAACACAAAACCCAAAAUCAUAUUCAAAGCAAAUCAACACUGAUUUUCUUUCAUCUUCUUCUUAAUCCCUAGUUUUUCGUAUUUCUCUUUUCCAUUUUUAUCAUAUUAAGUAAACUUUUAACCGUAAUUCUUUCUUUUCAACUUUACUAGUACUGGCCUACCAAGGAACAGGAAAGUGCUUCACAAAAUAGAUGUCAUGCAGUGUCAUUCAUUUCAUGCACAGAUCUAAUGCAGAUCAUAGUGCUCCAUUUCUGAGUUUUACAAGACCCCAUAUUAUAUAUGUAAGUUUGUGAUCUUCGUAGUCAAAAUGCUGAGCCCCUUAAUAUUAAAAUUUUAUGCCGUUUGCAGUUGUGGCAUUGCGACUGAGGAUUAAAGCCCUACUAAAGAAUCUAUUCCAUAAGUCCUUGCAAAAUUUAUGAAAUUGAAUAGGAAAACAAUCAAUGGCUUACAGGCAAAUAAAAGGCAUUUCACACUUAUAGUUAGAGCUGAUUUUUAGACUAUUGCUAUUUCUUUUGGGAAUCUGUCAAAGUAUAAAAUCCAGUUUAGACUAUAGACGAGAAUGACAUGAUAAUAGAAGAUAUAUGCAGUUGCAUUUCAGAGUAUUCUUCAAUGAGUGACUCAAAUACCAAUAAAUUAAAUGCAUUGAUGUAAAACCCUCAAAAGAUAACUUUCAAAUGUAACUUGGUCUCACAAAACGAACAAAACAAACAAGUAAUUCAUAAUAAGUUGCAAAAGUAUAUACAACUUACAUCUUUCCUGUAAAUUGCUCCUCGGAAAUACAUCAAUAUAGACCGUUCAUUGAAUGAUGGUGAGUUAGAAAUCGGGAUCGUUCUCACCAUAUGCUUGUAAGGUGCAAUUACAUCUUUUUCAAGGUUCGCUAGUUUUGUAGGGUAUCUUCCAAAAUCUGAAAGCACGAACAUAGCCGACCCCAACUUAUUUCUUGCAAAUAACAUACUAUUUGGAUGGUGGGCGACAAUCAAGUGAUCCCGCCCACCCAAACGCUUCCACUCUACCCGACCUUUCAAAAACUGCACCAAUUUAUCCUGCAGCAUUCUAUCAACACUAGCUGUUUCAUGUCCUUGGACCUUUGAGUGCCGGUUGUAACUCAGGGACGAGAAAAAGGGUACAAAUAUUACAUCCGCUUCACUUGAAUUCUGCACUCUGAUUGCACUGCAUGGUCUAUCUACAUUUGCAGUAUUUGAUGCAAGAAGAUCCAGAGUAAGCCAAUACUCUGUGCUGUGCUGUAAAUUUAAACCACCAGGAUAUGGUGGAUACCUAUUAGGAAUACUUACACUAGGCCAUGCCUGAUUUGCAUUGCCUUUCCAACCUAACAGCCCGAAGUGAAAAUCAGAGGGCAAGUCAUACAUAUAUACCCUAAGAAGUGCCCGACUUUGGUCACAUACUGACCCAUGGAGUUGUCCCAUUUCAUCCAUAUUCAUCGUGUGACCAGAAACUUGAAAACCCACUUCGUGAAUGUUAGUAUCUUUCAAGUGAAUCGAUGAAUUAUUAUUCAAAAUAAAAUUAAAAACUGAUCUGGCUAUGGAAGAAUUGUCAUAAUUAUUGCUGAACUGAUGAAGGGACAACGACGAGAGGAUCAAAAGAAUCAUCGAAACUGCUAUAACUUGGACGUUCUAAGGUACUUACAGCCUAAACAGAGAACUUAAGAGGAAUGUGAUCUGCUGUAUCUGUUCUUCCGGUGAACACUUAAUUGUGUGGCCGAUUUCUUGCGAGAAACA
rnacentral:lncRNA from 1 species